AAAAAGGCAAACUCUAGGUUUUCGUGUCCAAUUUUGACUGUCCGUCUUAUAUGAAACUUUUUUAUAUUUCGUAUUUUCAUUGUUGUUAGAUGAUAAAACAUGAUUAAUAUUUUAUGCGUGACUUGUCUUUUUAAUUUUUUAUAAGAUAGACGGUCAAAUGUUAGACACGGAAACCAAGGUUUGUCUUCUU
rfam:Oryza sativa Japonica Group DNA, chromosome 12, cultivar: Nipponbare, complete sequence.